rnacentral:rRNA from 1 species
UACGAAGGGGGCUAGCGUUGUUCGGAAUCACUGGGCGUAAAGCGCACGUAGGCGGCUCUUUAAGUCAGGGGUGAAAUCCCAGAGCUCAACUCUGGAACUGCCUUUGAUACUGGGGAUCUCGAGUUCGGGAGAGGUGAGUGGAACUGCGAGUGUAGAGGUGAAAUUCGUAGAUAUUCGCAAGAACACCAGUGGCGAAGGCGGCUCACUGGCCCGAUACUGACGCUGAGGUGCGAAAGCGUGGGGAGCAAACAGG